rnacentral:rRNA from 1 species
AGCGAAUCCCAAAAAGACCGGUCUAAGUUCGGAUUGCAGGCUGCAACCCGCCUGCAUGAAGUCGGAAUCGCUAGUAAUCGCGAGUCAGCAUAUCGCGGUGAAUACGUUCCCGGGUCUUGUACACACCGCCCGUCACACCAUGGGAGUUGGCAACACCCGAAGUCGAUGAGCUAACCUUUUAGGAGGCAGUCGCCUAAGGUGGGGUUGAUAACUGGGGUGAAGUCGUAACAAGGUAUC